CACGUAGGGGGCAAGCGUUGUCCGGAUUCAUUGGGCGUAAAGAGCUCGUAGGCGGUUCGAUAAGUCGGGUGUGAAACCUCCAGGCUCAACCUGGAGACGCCACCCGAUACUGUCGUGACUAGAGUCCAGUAGGGGAGCGUGGAAUUCCUGGUGUAGCGGUGAAAUGCGCAGAUAUCAGGAGGAACACCAGUGGCGAAGGCGGCUCACUGGCCCGGUACUGACGCUGAGGUGCGAAAGCGUGGGGAGCAAACAGG
rnacentral:rRNA from 1 species